UGCUGUUGACACAGCAUUGCUAUCAUACUUAGAAAGUAUACAUCGCAACUGGACAAUUAUGCAAGGAAAUUUGGUGAUGGCUAGGGAUGAAUGUCUUUAGGCAAUUUGGGCAGCAUUAGUCAUCAUAUCUGAAUGGAUACAUUUAGUCACAGUGACAGUGUCUAAAUUAGCUGAUAUUACAGACCAGUAUAAAAACCCUAAAGGUACACUUUAUUUUUAUAGAAAGGUAUGCCAGGAGCCUGAAGAUUUCUGUGAGAAAUUUCUGUGCUGUUUGGUUCUGGUCUUAACUGUGGAAAGGUUCCCUGGGCCAGUACUUAUGCAGGGGGACAGUCCUCACAACCCUCAAACUUAUUAAUGUCAACUCCAUAAUUCCACCAACUCAAAGAAGACAGAAAUCUUGUAAAACAGGUGCCAUAGGAUCUCCAGUGCUUAUGAUUUGAACCCUAUCUAUGUGGCAUCAGGCUGGUGAUGUAGUUUAAGACAUGCGAUACAG